AUUGAACGCUGGCGGCGUGCUUAACACAUGCAAGUCGUGCGGUAACAGGCGUAGCAAUACGUGCUGACGAGCGGCGAACGGGUGCGUAAUACAUGGGAAUCUGCCCUUUAGUGGGGAAUAACCCGGCGAAAGCCGGGCUAAUGCCGCAUAAGAUCUUCGGAUGAAAGCGGGGGAUCGUAAGACCUCGCGCUGAUGGAUGAGCCCAUGUCGGAUUAGCUAGNGGUGAGGUAACGGCUCACCAAGGCGACGAUCCGUAGCUGGUCUGAGAGGACGGCCAGCCACACUGGGACUGAGACACGGCCCAGACUCCUACGGGAGGCAGCAGUGGGGAAUAUUGGACAAUGGGGAAACCCUGAUCCAGCGACGCCGCGUGUGUGAAGAAGGCCU
rnacentral:rRNA from 1 species